CUUUCACCUGUAAGUCUAUAAAAGCUAUACUAUCCUACUAGGGUUACAGGUAGUGAGGUGGCGAAUUCUCCUUCAGCCGCCGUCAUCGGUGUUACCGCCGCCGGCUGCGGCAUCUCUGCCACCCAAUUCCGCCGUCUGUGUGCCACGGCGGUGGUUUUCAUUUAUAGCUUUUUACUCUGAAAAAUUACUGAUUUUGAAUUUUCGAUGAUACCCAGAUGGAAGAAACAUAGCUAAGAGUGGUUUUUGUGGAUCAGAUCUGUAUUCAUCAAAUGAUGGUAUUUUCCAUGUUAAGAAUCUCGAAGCCAAUCGAUUGAAGACUAGUGCUAGAAAAAGUUAUGAUGUUGCUGGAUGGAAUCAGAAGAUAAAAACUUAUUGUUCGUUUGAAGGAAAUGGCACUAUGCCUCUCCCUAAAAUGUUUAAUAGAUUUGUACGACCAGGGCAUGUGGAAUACGAGCUGCUUUCUUAUAUCACAAUGAUCAGUCUUCGGAAAUUGAUGAUAUAGUGGUUUGGAAGAUGAGGCAAAAAAAGCUUAUGAAGCAACCUAGUUGAAUGUUCAAAUCAAUUGACCACUUUGAUUUGGUAAUACAACUAUAGCCAAGACAAUGCUUCAUUAUAAGUGCAUAACUUUUCACUUUAUUGUUUGAGCAUUGUGUUGAUUUCUCUUAACUUGUUUUUCGUUGAACAAGAUUGUUUUUUCAUAUACUCGUGAAAUGCAACACCGUGCUCAGAAGUUAGAGUGAAAUGUUAUGCAUUUGUGAUUAUAUAUUUUCUUGGCUAGAGUUGUAUUGCCAAGUGAAGUGUUUUAAUUGAUUUGAACCUUCGAGUGAGUUGCUUCGUGAUCUUCUUAUGCCUUAGCUUCAGAACUUACCACUAUAUCAUCAAUUCUCGAAGAGUGUGGCCUACCUGAAUGCUCUCACUAAACUAUUCAGACAGCGUUGAAUGAUCUUAACCUUGAAAUGAACGAGACGAGGAAACCACUUGGUGUUGUAAAUCUCUACUGUUGAGGCUUUAUUUUUGGCAGUUCUUAAAUAUGUCUAUCUUAAGUUUUGUAAUUAAUUUAUGUUUGUUUAGUAUAUCUCUGUUGUUACCCCUUUGUAAUCUUUUGGAUUCAAUAAUGAAGUUGGUUUGGAAAUA